rnacentral:rRNA from 1 species
UGAGGAAUAUUGGUCAAUGGGCGAGAGCCUGAACCAGCCAAGUCGCGUGAGGGAAGACAGUCCUAUGGAUUGUAAACCUCUUUUGCCGGGGAGCAAAGAGCGGCACGUGUGCCGCGCCGAGAGUACCCGGAGAAAAGCAUCGGCUAACUCCGUGCC